UACAGAGGGUGCGAGCGUUGUUCGGAAUUACUGGGCGUAAAGCGCGCGCAGGCGGCCCUUUAAGUCUACCCGUGAAAUGCCGGAGCUCAACUCCGCGCACGCCGGGGGAUACUGGGGGGCUGGAGACAUGUGAGAGGCAAGCGGAAUUCCGGGUGUAGCGGUGGAAUGCGUAGAUAUCCGGAAGAACACCGGUGGCGAAGGCGGCAUCCUGGACCAACACUGACGCUGAGUGAGCGAAAAGCCAGGGGAGCAAACGGGG
rnacentral:rRNA from 1 species